GGGAUAAGCUCAGCAUGGAAAUUGGGGCCUCUGGCCUUGAAUUGUAGUCUUGAGAUGUGCUACCAACGGAGGCGCAGAUGUAAGCCUCUUGGAAAAGAGCGUCAGGGAGGGUGAGAGUCCCGUAUGUCAUCUGCAGUUCUCUGUGCACGGUACAUUUUCCAAGAGUCACGUUCCUCGGGAUUGGACUAGCGCCGAAAUUGGGUGGUAAAUUUCAUCUAAAGCUAAAUAUUGGUUCGAGACCGAUAGCAAACAAGUACCAUGAGGGAAAGGUGAAAAGGACUUUGAAAAGAGAGUUAAAAGUGCCUGAAAUUGCUGAAAGGGAAGCGAAUGGAACCA
rnacentral:rRNA from 1 species